AUGACAGAAUAUAGGCAAUGAGUACCAAGAUUGGAAUGAUGCAGUGAUUAGCACAGUCCCUAUGGAAGGGUGAUGUGCAAACUUGUGAAGAGUUCCAUAUUUUU
rnacentral:snRNA from 1 species